AAUGGGGUAACUGGGUCAAAUGGUGGUUCCAUUACAAGUUGUCUAAAGAAUAUCUAUACUGCUUUCCACAGUGUUUUUACCAAUUUGCAGUUCCACCAGCAAU
rnacentral:pre_miRNA from 1 species